CGGACACGGAGGAAAGGGCCUGACAACCACCAGUUGAGUCCAUGAUUCAGUGAGUUCCUUAUAAGGAAAUAUAUUUGUUACCACCUAGUAAUUUAAAUGUAUUAUUUAUUGCUUUAAAAUGAACACAUAUAUUUAUCAUCAGGGGAAGAGACAGUCUGGGCAGCAGCAACAAGACAACUAUUACAAGUAGAGAUGGGUUUCAAGAACUGACACAACCACAUAUCCUCCAAAUCAUCUCCGAGUGGAUGGCAGCAAGGAUCCAGGAUCAAGAGAUCAUUCUUCAUGGAGACUGUUCCACAGGAAGCAGUUUCUCCUGGGUGAAAAACUAAACCUGGUUGUUUCAGCAUCACUC